UGGGCGCCCACCCAGCGUCGGGCCGCGUUUAAGCCACCUGCCCAUCCCCGGGGCUCUCGCUGACCUUCAAAGUUGAGAUUGGCCCCAUGCCGCAAGAGAACGUCGGCCGCCCGCGUCAGCCCCAGCUCAGCCAUCUUGAGCAGGGCGUUGCUCACGCCUUCCUGGUAAAAGGGAGAGUGGGCUUUCCUGUCCAGCAGCUCAGUGAGAACAAGGAUUCGGCUCUCCUCGCUGGCGACAUAACUGGGCCUGGGACAGGAGAGAGGCUGAGGAAAGCCCUUCCAUCCUCAAACCUGCAGGACCCCAGCCCCGGCAACACCUGCAGCCAGGACAGCAACACAGCCCCUCACAUUGAGACCUUCAGCUGAUAUUGAUGAAGAAAGCCUACGUUUCCACCAGAGUCCCUGGAUGGCGAGACUCAUCAUUACCACGUGUUGGAAAUUCCAACUGACAACCCCCUCA
rnacentral:lncRNA from 1 species